AGAGUUUGAUCAUGGCUCAGGACGAACGCUGGCGGCGUGCCUAACACAUGCAAGUCGAGCGGGGAGAAGAAUUCGUUUUUCUCUUUAGCGGCGGACGGGUGAGUAACACGUGGGUAACCUGCCUCAAAGAGGGGGAUAGCCUUCCGAAAGGAAGAUUAAUACCGCAUAAUAUCAGGGAGCUGCAUGGCAUUCUGAUCAAAGGAGCAAUCCGCUUUGAGAUGGACCCGCGGCGCAUUAGCUAGUUGGUGAGGUAACGGCCCACCAAGGCGACGAUGCGUAGCCGACCUGAGAGGGUGAUCGGCCACAUUGGAACUGAGACACGGUCCAGACUCCUACGGGAGGCAGCAGUGGGGAAUAUUGCACAAUGGGGGAAACCCUGAUGCAGCAACGCCGCGUGAGUGAUGAAGGCCUUCGGGUCGUAAAGCUCUUUGAUCAGGGACGAUAAUGACGGUACCUGAAAAACAAGCCACGGCUAACUACGUGCCAGCAGCCGCGGUAAUACGUAGGUGGCGAGCGUUGUCCGGAUUUACUGGGCGUAAAGAAUGCGUAGGUGGAUAUUUAAGUGGGAUGUGAAAUCCCCGGGCUCAACCCGGGAACUGCAUACCAAACUGGAUAUCUGGAGUGCAGGAGAGGAAA
rnacentral:rRNA from 1 species